rnacentral:misc_RNA from 1 species
CGGGUGAAGAAGCUCAAGUUGCGAGAAACAUUAUAUGCCAUAGCAGGUGGAAGAGGCUUCACAAUGGUGUCAAUGCUAAAUACUCUCUGAAGAAACUGAAAAUUGCGCUGGAAGCUGUACCGGAGCUCGGGGUCGAGCUCAAGGGGAUCGUCUUCGUCAGAGUCAUCUUCAUUGGAGCGGCGCUUGUUGUUCUUUUUGCGAGGGACGUGCAUAGUAGGGGUGGA